rnacentral:lncRNA from 1 species
AGCCUUCACUCAACCUAGACCCGAUGUUCGGCCGUGUCCGAUCCCGGAUGCACUGUUCGUCCUUCUCGGGCUCCGAAACGAGGAACCUUUCAGCUUUACUCAAGAUUGCAUCAGAUUAUGCUUCCCUCUCAUUUCUUUACAGGAAUAUCGGGGGUAACAUUGUUUCCGAUUUUAUCCGUACACACUAUUACUACUCCAAGUUAUUUUGGAAAUCUCAGUUCGGCUCUUCAAAUUCGAUCCAACCAAAGAAAAAGAAUAAAUAGAAAGUUUAAAAAAUUUCAGAUUAGAAUUAACAAUUUAGAUUGAAGAGGCUUCCCAAUCCCAACCAGAUUAUAGCAAUUGCCUCAUGAACCCCCUUAAGUUCUAAUCCUAAUCCAAUCAUCGUAGAAUUCCUUCCUUCGGCUAUAUAAUGAAACAAUUAUUGGGGAAGUAGUGUACCCCCUACCCUAACCAAUUUAAGUCCAUAUUCUUUCUUUUCGUAUCUACUUAGCUUAUUUUGUAUAUAAUUUAAAAUUUCCUUUUUCCUAUUAAUAGGGUAGUAAGAAAAUUUGUAUUAGAAACUAAUUCGAGAGUGACUCGUGUUUAUCAUCACAGAUUUAAACUUUAUUGUAUGAACUAAAGUUUGGAACUUUUAAAAGCUUGAAAACUCAUAAAUGAAUUUUGUGAUUAGUUCAGCUUUUUGCAUCCAAGGGCAUGGUCUAGCAGUCAAUGAAGUGGAUUAAGAACUAUGAGAUCUCAUGUUCAAAUCUCGGAGGUAAAAAUAUUAGUAGGUGAUAUUUUUUCAUUUGUCCGAGCAUUGGUGGACAUAGUUAUCUGGUACCUGUUGCUGGUGGGAGGUAGCAGGUAUUUCGUGAAAUUAGUCGAGAUGUGCAUAAGUUGGCCCGGAUACUACGAUUAUCAAAAAAAUAUUUGUUACUAUAAUUUUUGAUAAAUUGAUGAUUGAGUUUUAUUGGGGAUGACAUUUUGAAGUUGUGAUUAAAAUUUAAAGAUAUUUGAUGAAGAUUUGAGAUAUUUGCAUUUUUCGUGAGUUUGAGUUUAUAUGAGACAAAACUCAGUUUUUAUGCAAAAUAUUAUACAAUAUAUAAUAACUGUAUAAUAUUAUAUACCGGGUAUAUAAACAUUUGCAGAAAAUAAUGGGUUAUGCGAUUAUAAACUUAAAAACAUGGUGACGUAAGUACAAUGUAGGGUGUUGACCUGUACUUUUGUGCAAAUCGAUAUCUUGCGCCAAAAAGUUGCCAGCAUUAUCUGGGUGUGUUAAGUUAGUUUAACUUGAAAUAUUAAUAUUAGUAGCUCCAAUCAACAAAAACAUAUCAUGUAUGUUUUUUUGGAAUAAUUUUUUAUAAAGUUUAGAUCUGGUUUGUUUAAAUCUUAUAAUAACUCUGGUUGCAUAACUUUUUAAAUACUUCAAGUCUAUCUCACUUUAAAACUGUACACCAAUUCCAUAGAAGUGUUCAAUGCUCCGUUGACAUAUACUAGUAACUUAUUUGAGUUAAAAUUUGGGUUUUAUUUCUCUAUAUAAUAUGUUGCUCUUUUAUAGGAAGGUGACACAGGGAUAUAAUGAAAGGAUUGUUUGCAAUAAAUGAAGAGGUUGAAGGAAAUUAGCACACCCUUGAUAGAUUAUGUUGUGUUGUUUCCUAUACAACUAAUGACAUAAACAAAGCUAUAGUGUAGAAUUAAAGUGUAAUCCCAAUGGUUAAGUUCAUAUAACGGUGGGAACUAAUUGAAGCUGAAGACGAAAUGGGAUACAACAAAAUACUAAAAUAAUUGGUCCAAAAUUGCUAAUCGAACACUCAUAAGACCAAAAAAGAACCCAUUGGUGGUAGUGAGAGUCCCUCUUGUAGUCUUUUAGGCCAUUGAUUGAAAAUCAAAUUUUCUUUUUUAUUAUAACCCCAAAAGGAUAUAAAAAUAAAAAUAAAAAUUAUGGCUUGCAAGGAAGUAACACUAGAACGCAAAACAAUAAUGUCCAAACAAAAAUUCCUUGAUUUAUCCAAGAACUUCAAUUUGUGGCCAUCCUUUAAUGCUCUAAUGCUAACAAUAAUAGCAACUCUCUUCUAUCAAAGAUAGCCCACUCAACUCUAUGUCCAAGCAAAGCAACCAAAAAAAAAAACUUCAGCUCCUCUUACCUCUAGCUAGCAAUGAAUGACACAGUUGACAAGCUAGUAAUUUUCUUGGCAAAGAGAGAUGGAAUUGACAAACUUGUCAAGACAUUCCAAUACGUAUCCAAGCUCGUAAAUUGGCACGUCGAGAAAACUUACCCUGAAUUUGCCACUAGAGCUAAGCAAUGGGAAGUUGCUUCUGGCCUCAGUCGAAAAGCCUUCCGAAGUGGUCGAUUCCUCACUGGAUUCAAUGCCCUCCGAAGGAGCCCCGGCACGUCCUCAGGUUUCAGGCUGCUAGCAGUUCUUGCCAAUUCAGGAGAGAUGGUCUAUUUCUUCUUUGACCAUUUUCUCUGGCUGUCGCGAAUCGGAGUUAUGGAUUCUAAAUAUGCAAAAAGGAUGAGCUUCAUUUCUGCAUUUGGUGAGUCUGUUGGAUACGUGUUUUUCAUUAUCUCGGAUUUUAUUCUCAUUUCAAGGGGCCUAAAAGCAGAAAGGAAGCUUUUGACUGAAGAGGAGGAGUCUAAGGAAACAGAAGGCGAAAUCAAGAAAAUUAGAAUGGAUAGAAUUAUGAGACUGAUGGCUGUGGCAGCUAAUAUAGCUGACCUUAUAAUUGCUUUGGCUGAAAUUGAACCAAAUCCAUUAUGCAACCAUACUGUUACUUUAGGCAUUAGUGGCUUAGUUUCUGCAUGGGCUGGUUGGUAUAGAAACUGGCCCUCCUGAACAUACAUAAGUUAUCAGAUUGAUGGCGAAUUUCAAAGCAUAUGAAUGUAACAAACUUCAGUUAUAUAUGAUCAGCGGGAGCUUAAACGUUCUGAUUUACUACUAUACAUGUAAGAGUUGAGGCUUUUCUUUUUCUCUUUUUCUGUUCUAACUUGGAUUUUGUUGCAAGACUUCUGCAUAGUUCAGAUUUAAGUUAUAAACAUUGUUGAAGAUAACACAACUAUGGAUUAGGUCAUUCAAAACUCACUUUUAAAAAGUUGUCUAAGUCAAGCAUGAGUAGCAGGGGUGGUUCAAUAAACAUAGUGGCCCAAAACAAAACUUCAACGAGAGGCCGUAAGCUUUUUGUUAGAAAAAAAUAAAAAUAAAAAUCAUACGUAUAUAAUUUCAUUUGAAGUUCAUUUUUCUAAUUUUUUUAUAUGCAAAGUUAUUAACAAUUUGUUGUAAUCGAUUUCUUCUAAUAAUUUCUUUUUUAAUUUCUAAUAUAUCUAAUCCAUUUAAUAGACAUACUUUCUAAUUUAAGAUAUUAAUUUAUUGUUUGUUAAAUAUUUAUCAAGAGUUCUUUUUGGAAUUAUAUUAAAGUUUCAAUCUUUUUUUGAGUUAUGAAUAAUCAUAUUCUUUCUCGAUUUAUACUCUAGAGAGUGAUUCCCCAAAAGACUAUUUCUUUUCUCAAUUUAUGCUCAACGCUUUAACCUUUCUUCUUCUUUUUUUACUAUGAAAAAUUAUACUUCAUCAUUUAAAACACUAAAUAUUUUUUUCGAAUAACAUAUGCACUUAUUAGGAAAAUUUGUGACCCCAAAAAAUAGGGGGCCUUGGGUCGGCACUGAUGAGUAGGUAACCUAAAAAAUAAAGUAAAUAACUUGUAAAAGAUAAUUAUAUUGUCCACUAUACAGUUAAAUUCAUUUGUAAUUACUCUAUUAAAGGUUAUCUAUUCAGAUUUUAAGAAGAAUUGCUUAUAACUCCUGCACUAUAUUUUUUGCGUUCUCCUCUGUUUUUUUUUUCCUUUUAUAACUUUUGCGCUAAUAUGUGUUACAGCCUAGAUCCUUAUGACUCUUCUAUAUGAUCUUUUAGUUUUUUUCUGGCGAAAAACAUUCACUGGAAAUUAAAGACGCUAAAUACCACUAGCUAAGGAGAAUACUAUAAUGAAAAUUACAUCUAGAAGCUUUCUUUUCAAUCUUCUCUUCUAGUAGUCCAAGUUGGAAGUGGAAUUAUGACUUUGUGCAUUGUAUUUGUAGGUGAAAAUUAGUUUCUGUUAUGUUAGGAUAUACUAUUACCAAUCCAGUUCGUUUUUAUUCUUAAACACGUAAAGUGGUUUUAGCUUUAUUUACCUUUUACGAAUAUGACUUUCUAAUUAUCAGAUAUUUUAAUCUUAUUUUUGUUCGGCUUCGGCAUGUUGUAAAACUUUAAUGAACUGAACUAUUUCUAAAGUGAAAUAUUUACAUCAUCAAAAUCUUUUAACUUUUGAAUGUAAACUUUCUCUUCAAAAGCAAAGCCAAAUAUCAAGGUGAGAAGUAGUAGAUGAAAUUCAAUGGGUGUACUUCCAGAUGCAAGUGAGAAAAAUUUCACACAGUUAAAACUUAUUGAAUAUGGAAACUUCGUGACAUUUUAAUUGAGAACAUUGAACUCUAUCUAGUUUCCUGAAAAGAAUAUAAAAAGAUAUUCAUCUGAUGACCAUUAUGACUAAUUAAAGAUACCAUGCAGUUAAGCGUAGAGAUUAAUCUUCUUAGAUCGUAAAAAUCUAUCUACAAAAUGAUACUUACAUCAAAUUAAUAAAUACAUAAUAUGCAUUUGCAUAUAAGAUUUUCACUUAACUAUAGUUAAUUUUUAUAUAUUCUCGCCUAGCUAAUUUUUUUCACCUAACUAAUAAAUUUACAUAAUUUGAUGUAUACACUAGUGGCUAAUAAGUAGGAGUAGUAAGUUUUUACGAAAUCAAAGUACUCAUCGCCAAUAGCUUACGCCGGAAAGAGAGAGCAAAUCAAGCAAAAACUACUUAUAAGCUUUUACAAUUGAUAGUAUAAACGAUUUUAACUAUGCAAAUAUUAAAAUAUAUAGACGAUUGUAACAUGUUAUUGUUCGCAACAAAUUUUCGUUGUACAGAAAAUAAUUGCAACAAAAAUAAUAUGAAUAAAAAAAGAUUUUAUUGAUGAAUAUUUAUGAGUACACUUCUAUGUAUCCCUUGGUUCCCCUCUCUGAGAUUCUCCGUGAUUCGAGGACUUGAGAAACGUCUUUCUUGAAUGUACGAUGAUGCAGACCUCCUUGUGAUGUAUUCAAUCGCCAAGAACGUCGAACAACGCUUCGUUUUUUUAGGUUGAACUCCGGGAAGAACUCCGUUGAUCACUUCUUUGUUGAAAAACUUUGCACUUGAUGAUUGAUCUCUCUGUUUUUGGAUGCCUUCACCAAUUGCAGAAUGCUCUUCUCCAACUCUGAAUGUCCUUAGAGAGUUAUGUAACCCCUCUAUUUAUAAUGGUAGAUGAUUGACAGUCCAACUACAUAUAAACUCUCUUGCUUGAUUCUGAUUGGCUCAUGUGAGUCAUCAAACUUAUCGCACAAGCUACCUGAUAAGCUUGCUUGUGAUUGGCCAAAACAUGUCAUUUUAGAUACUUGGCGACUCUUGAUUGGUCACUGUUUUAGACUAGGAUUUCCAUAUCAGUUCACACAUGGCGUCAUCUUGUUGGCUUUGGGUUUGACUGGACAUGCCAUAUCACUUGACAUAUGGCAUGAGUUUGGACCUUAAGAUAGAAUGGAACUUGGGCUUGAAAAUAAUAAAAUGGACUAAUUUUAAUUUAUAAAGUCCAAGUUAAUUAUUUAACCCAAAUAGAUUUAAUCCAAAUUUUGUAUGGAUUAGACCCAAUAAAUUUUAUAUGUCUACAUAUACCCCCUAUUUCAAGGCUUGUCAAAGUGUAGACUUGUUAAAACUCGAAGACAAGGCCCGGAGUAUCCAUGUGAAGAAUAUUUUCUUUCUUGCCCAUAAAUAAAGAAUUUGAAUUCUUUGGGCAAUCGUGACUCUCUAGUGAAGCAUGUAAUCAAAGCCAUCAAACAAGGCCUUCUUACUAUGCUUUCAUUUUCUACGUUGGAUAUAAAUUCAAUGACAUAUCCCUUGCCAUACGUAAAGUUCACCAAACGAAACUGACCUAAAUCGAAUUGAAAAAAAACUUUUGAUACCAAGUAUGUUGUACUUAAACAAUACUUUAUUAGUAACCUUUAUAGCAAAAUUAUGGUAACCAAAACAUGUCACAUUGAACAAUAUAUGACAGUUCCAUCAUAGAUCAAUUUCUUAUGACAAAGCCAUGUGAGGCUCAUGCAGGAAGCCUUCCCCUCUUCCACUUUGACUUGAAUUCAAAUACUUCUCAGAAGUUACUUUCUAAUGAAUAUUUACCAUUCAAAACUUUCAAGUCAAACAAGAAUUUUCUUUUUUACUUUAAGAAGAAUUCUUUUUCUAUAAGGAAAGUUCCACCAUCUUAAACAUUAUAUAUAAGCGAUCUUUGUUGCGUGAAUAUAGAAUUCCUUUCACGCUGAACACGGCUGCUUGUAGUCUGCUUUCACUUCUUUCUUCAUUUAUUUCUCCCUUUAAAACAAAGAGAAUAUCAGUCAUGUCUUUUUUUAAUUGCAGUACCAGUCAGCCAGUUUUAUACCCUUGCAAAAAAGCAUUCAUAUUUUGUUGUAGGAGACUUAAAAUCAUGAGCCACUUAUUUUUACCAUAACUAGACGCAUAGGACUGAAACAUAUCAAAAAAUCAGCACGAAACUCCUUUUGUAUAAGCUGGAAUUAAAUUUUGAAGUUGAUCUACACGUAUGGCCCGUGUUGAUCUCACAACUUUGAGCACUCUCGACACAAGAUUCAUAUCUUAAUAUCGGAGAAAUCACGAACCGUUUUCACCAUUGGAAAGGAAACUCUGAGCUCUACAACAUGUGCAAGGAUCAAAGCUCUAUCAUUUUUAAUCUCAUCACUGUAAACUUUGAAUCGAGCGCUGAAAAUCGGAAGGAUUGUUCGGGAAGCAUAUACUUCUCCCCUUCUCUUUGCACGUUUAGAAAAGAUAUACAUGGCGAGUUCUCCAAUCCACAUCAAGCAAAAAAGUGGAUGAUCACCACUUCUUUUUGUAGGUAAGAGGUUCAUGAAGCGUACGAUUCGUCGAGAUUUGACGGAGAAGUGCACGUCAUAAUGUUCACCAUCUGCAUUGAAGUAUCGUGUCAUUGACACUGGUUCUUGUUGCUGAGUGAAAGCUCCGUGCUGUUAUCUUUUUUGCUUGUGCGUGGCUGGUGGAAUUGCUGAUUUCGUAUACUCAACGACCUAACUCAUAGUCAAGGCUAGAGAUUAAUGAGGCUCCCCAAUUUUAACUUCCCUUUCCAUGUCGAUUAGUUUCAAUCAAACUUUUUUGUUACUCAUGAUAACCUUUUUUCUUCUUUUAUUUUCUUAGAACGUGGGGCUGUGGAGAAGUAUUCAUGAAGUAGCAGAACCACUAAAUAAAAUCAGUUAUAGCCCAUGAAGCACUGGUCUGAAAGCAGAAAGUCUUUAUUAGUGCACCGAAUGCGUCUAUUGUUGUUAACAAACCCAACCAGCAGGAACCGCAUGUAGAAGCAUAUAGUACUCUACAAAAGGAUAGCAGUAAGCCUUAUGUCGAAUUAAGCGUCUUGUUGUCAACAUUGAUACUUACUUCUGAAUUGAGCUUUGCAUCAUCGACACCAAUCAAUCACGUGAAAUCAAAAGCUUCAUGUCGUCUGCAUCGAUAUUUAUGGGUGGAGUUGAAGAGUCAUGUUGCUGAAAUGUUGUGCUAUUGGCACCGAGGACUUUCAAGAUACUUUCUUUUGCAGGAUUUUGAGAUAGUUCCAGCGAUCCUUAUAUCCAUAAGAAUAUGCAUUGCUAGUGAACCUCUCGUCUCUUUGUUGCGGCUUGGCGAGAGAUACACAUGAAGUGCUCUUUCAACCUCAGCAAUAAAAUCUCUACUCUUGGAGGCUUGGAGACACCAUAUUUCAUUAUUGGCGAGCCAACAUGUACCACAUCGCAUCAUUGCAGGUUGACGAGGAAGACAACUAGAGUAGGUAUUUCCAACUUCGGCGAGCAACCACCUAGCAUCUCUGCAAAAAUAUUUAUUUUUCAAUGCAAAAGCGAUGAAAUCACAAGCCGCUUCUUCCUAAAGAAUCAUAACUCGAGGGGAUAGAACAUAUAAACAAUUCAGCACCAAAUUCCUUGAGGAUUAGCUGCAAUAUUGUUUUGAAGCUAAUAAACGUGUCCAACAUUUUAACUUUACAGCAUUGUACAGUCUCGCCAAAAGAUUGAUAUCUCGAGUUAGAAGUGCCCAAAUCAUGGUCCGUCUGCGCCAUUAGAAAGAAUACUCAGAAAAAAAGAAAUUAUCAAGAUAUCAAGGAAGAAUUCCUUCCAGAAUGGACCCAACAAUUUCAUAAAUUUGAUCCAUUUGUCUAUGAAAUUGCUCUUCAGCUUUGCGCACUCUUUGUGGAAAAAUUCAUAUCUCGAGCUAGUAAUCUCCAAAUGACGAUCUGUUUGCUCUGUUAGAAAGUAAAUUCAGAGACCUAAAUUUUUGGACAUCAACAGAAUUAUUUUGAAGUUGACCUAACUGCAGGGAGCUUUCAUGUUGUGUACUUUCGGACAAGAAAAACUGUAUCUUGAACUAGGAGCGCCGGAAUCACCAACGGUUUGAUCCUAUAAAAUUCGUACAUCAAGAACUAUAAUCAUGUUAAAGAUGAAGGCUCUAUUAAUUCUUAGCUAGCUUAACAAAUAUUUUUGAAGUUGAUUCUACAGCUUCGCAUGUAAUGGCUUUGGCUAUCAUCACAAAUUUUAUCUCCUUGUUUAUUUCUUUUGCAGACUUGCGAAGUAGCUCAAAAGGUCACAAUGUCAGACCAAGAAGGCACACAAGAUGUGAAUAUAUUGAUGUUUCGAGCAAUAAGAAAUGAGCAAAAUCUCCAUGCAAAAGAUGUACUCGAUGUUGCAGAGAGAUCAUUAUGUGAAAAUACUCAUUUUCCAAAAGUUGUGUAUACUCGAAUUUUUCAUAUCCAUGAAGCUUAUGAUGGAACUUUGGAGAGUGAUGUAUAUACUCAUGUAUGGAAGCUUGAAACAGAAGAAGUAGAUCAUUGUGCCCACGACUCAACUACGAUAUGCAUAGUUAAGGGAUUAUGGAAGGUGCAAAAUACCAUGAGCACACCAUCAAGGAUGACCCAUCAUAUGGAGAAGUCACGAACGAGUUGCCAGCCAGACUUAUCUUUCGAUCAUCUACAUGGCAUUAGAUUCCUUGUAUAGGAUGGCGUCUUAUUUUACUUUUAUCAUUGAUAUACAUAACUCUUUCAAUAUUAAAGCAAUAAAAUGUCUUUUAUGCUUUGGUGCCACAUUGUCUUAUUUUCCUUAUUUAUAUGUGCCUCUACAUUUGGUAGAGUUAAUGUGAUGAUCCCAUAAGGCAAACCUUUUUUUUUUGAAAACUCAUACGACUGAACAUAGAAUGAAAGUCUAAGCUGCAUACGUACCUCGGUGAAGAGGAUCAAGUCAUAACGUAGUUCAGAGGGGUGAGUUUCUUUUCUUUUUUUUUAUGUCCUAAUUUUUGCCUAGGUCGCCUCUCGCGAGAUUUUCAACUUAGAGGAUUUUUUUGGGGGGGUCCUAACUCUUUUGGUCUUGACUUUUGCCUAGGACGCCUCUUUCGAGGUUUUCAACCUAGCAUGCUCUUUUUUUGCCGUACACAGUUUAGACACAUGCUGGCCAGGAGUGUAGCAAUGUGCAAUUUAAGCUCAUGCAUCAAGGAGCGUCGUGACUUGCAGUUUAGGCACGUGCGUCGAGGAGCGUAGGUGACUUUCAUGGGAAGUAGUGCUUCAGAAAUUUUUUGUUGAUCGGACCGACUCUGAAACCAUCCUUAUCAACGAUUUUGUAUGCGCCACUUGAAUAGGAUUACUUCACAACAUAUGGCCCAUUCCAUUUUGAAGUAAACUUGUCGCACAUGCGUUUGUUGAGGAUUAUGGGUCUUCGAACAGCUAGGACCAAGUCUCCCACUUGGAAUGAUCGUGACCGCACUUUCUUGUUGAAGGCUCUAGCUAGUCGAGCUUGAUAGCACUCCAAUCUUUGUUGAGCUUCCAAUCUUUUCUCAUACAAUGCCUCUAACUCUGCUAGGCGAAGUUGAGAAUGGCAAGACUUGUCUUUCUGGAGAGAUCAACACAACACUUGCCCCCGCACCGUUAUGACGUGUAAAUCCAUCAAACAACAUUGUCCAUGGUGGCAAUUCUUCAAUGAACAACACGUCUUUAUUUGGAAUUCCGUCAGAAGAGGGUGAUUAGCUAGAAAAUUGGCGAGUGCUUGUCCUUUUACAACCUUUUGAGGUGUGUAUGUAAUCUCAUAUUGGUUAAACAAUAUGGACCAUCUUGCUAGGCGUCCAGAAAGAACAUGCCGAGUUAUCACAAACUUUACUGGAUCUACUCUAGAGAUGAGUUUAAUGGUGUAUGAUUCAAAAUAAUGCCUUAGCUUCUUUAUCGCAUAAAGUAACGCUAAGCAUAUUUUCUCAACAGGCGUGUAUUUUAACUCGGCUCCUACCAGAGUUCGACUAAGGUAGUACAAGGCUUGCUCCUUUUCUUCCUCAUUCUCUUGAGUAAGUAGUGCUCCAAGUGAACGUUCUUGUGCCGCGAUGUAGAGUAUCAAUGGCUUCCCAAGCAUUGGUGCCCCUAACACAGGUGGAUUCAGCAAGUACCUUUCGAUGCUUUCAAAAGCAUUUUGAUAUGACUUAUCCUAGUGAAAUGGGACAUCCUUCAUCAAUAGAUGAUUGAAGGGUUGACACCAUCCGGCCAUAUUAGAGAUGAACCUCCGGAUGAAUGCUAAGUUUCUUUGGAGACUACGAAGCUCCCUCAAGUGCUUCGGCUAGGGCAUUUUUUGAAUGGCGUCAAUCUUUGUGGGAUCAACUUCAAUUCCAUGAUGACGCACAAUAAAGCCAAGAAAAUUUCCCGAGGUAACUCUAAAUGCACAUUUAAGUGGAUCCAUCUUUAGGUCGAAUUUUCUUAACUUUUCGAAAAUAAUUCGAAGGUGUUCAAGGUGGUAGCUUCCUAUGCUUUGUCUUCACUACUAAGUUAUCGAUGUUGCAUUCAACCCUCCUAUGAAACAUGUUGUCAAAGAUGUUUUGCAUAGCGCGUUGAUAGGUGGCACCAACAUUCUUCAGACCGAAGGGCAUCACUUUGUAGCAGUAUAUCCCUUUUGGAGUUCGAAAAGCAGUACACUCUUCAUCUUUUGGAAACAUUCUGAUUUGAUUGUAUCCGGAGGACCCAUCCAUGAAUGACAUAACUUUAUGCCAUGUUGUAGCAUCAACCAUGAGUUCAAUAAUUGGUAGCGGAAAGUCAACUUUCGGACAUGCCUUGUUUAGGUCACGAAAGUCAACACAAACACGUAUUUGACCAUUCUUCUUCUUGACAGGUAUAAUAUUCGAGAUCCAUAAUGGGUAUUGCACCUCUCAAAUAAAUCCCGCCUCGAUGAGCUUAUUGACUUCGGCUUAAAUUUGUGGUACUAACUCUGGUCGAAACAUCCGUUGUGACUGCUUCGCAUGGCGUGCUCCACUCUUGAUUCCAAAAUGGUGAACGACUACCUUAGGACUAAGGCCAGGCAUUUCUUUGUACGACCAAACGAAGACAUCUUUGUACUCAAUCAACAACUUGAAUUAUUCCUCCUCCUCUUGAGGCGUAAGAAGCACACUAAUGAAGGUUGGGCGUGGAUCUUCCAGAGUGCCUAAAUUGAGUUCCUUAAGCUCAUCUACAGUUGAUUGCCCGCCAUCUUCUAGUUGAGGGGGAUCCUCAUGGACUUCAUCAUUAACGUCAAGGCAUGGGCUAUCUUCCACUGUUAUGUGAUGGGAUGUUUCCAUGAAGUCUAACUUUUCUCUUUGACUUCCUUGGAUGGUUGGCAUGGCUCCUUCCUCUUUCUUUGUUUCUCUAUGAGGCUGACAAGUGUAAAUGAUGCUACUUCUUUUCACCUUCAGUGGACCAUCUGUAGAUAUUGACAAAAUGGACUUCCUCUUCA